rnacentral:misc_RNA from 1 species
GUUCUUUGACUGCUUCGAUCCAUGUCCUUGGUCUAUCCCUAUCAUCUUUUCACUCUCAUAACUUAUCUGAAGAAUUCUCAUUUUAAAAUUAUAAUGACAGACAGGUCCAGAAAAUUUUUAUUAUAUAAAUUCUAGUGCAAUCUAUACUGCAACAGUUUUCUUGUCUGCUGGUUUUGGUGAUUUAGAAGGUUCAAAGGGAAA